CGAGGAACGUACUAAUCCUCCUCCUGCUCUUUGGUCCGAGCCCGUCGCCGAUCUGGCAAUCGCCUCGACGCCGGCGGGCGGCGUGCCGUCGCCUUAUCCACCUCCCUCCUCUCCGCAUCGGAUCUCUCAUCUUCCACAGGGUAUCAAUUAGUUUGCUGAAAAUCCAAACAGAAUGGUGCAUGAUACCUUAUCGUCGCCUCAUAGGCGGGCUCAAAACACUUUCUUUUCGUCCUCUCCAUCUAAGAAACAGAUGUUGGGUCCCAGUGAGCUGGGGUCUUGGUCUACCCUUCUCGAGCGACACAGGUUCCUCCUGACGAUGCUCGCUUUGUUGGCAUUCUUAUGCACCAUCUACCUCUACUUUGCGAUCACAUUGGGCACUACCAGCUCCUGUUCGACCAUGUCGGGCGCUGAGAAGGAUCUCUGCGAAGCUAAGGCUUUGCACAAAGGGAAACUAAAAUUCUUCUGACCGCAGAUUGCGUCUGUAUUACUAGUUCAUGGAGACGAACCAAGAAACUUGGUCCGAGUUCCUUGACUCUUAACAUCAUUGAGAUACAAUGAUACAAGCUUAACAGAGAUAAUGUCGCUUAUUGAGAUGCCAUUUGUGCCCUAUUGAAGCGUAUGUAUCGUUUUGUUCUAUACUUGUAACUAUUCGAUGCCUUGAGCUGUGGAGCAGAAAAUAAAUCUACUAAUGAAACCUGUCGCAUAAAGUUCUCAUUCUC